UCUCACUCAUCCACACACUUCUGACAUGACUGAUGUUCCUCAUAUCUACCCACGCCAUCAACUUAGUUAAGUUGUUUGUUAGUUUGAGUUAAAUAAACCACUUUUGUUCCUAUUAUCUGUGUGAGGCCUCCCUUUUUGUUGCCAGCCUUGAGCCAGGCGGUAACAAUAGGUUGAAACAGACGCCCACUUAACUAACCACAGUACACACCUUGCUGCUCAAGUGGAAAUGACCUGAACUGCGGUGAACUGACAGCCUCUUCCUGUAGGCCUGAACUCUGCUGACCUGUGGGGGCGAGAGACUACACAGACUACAGGCUGGCCUCUAAUAUUGCUAAUAAACACUACAGCCAAGAAACCACGUCUAGAAUGUUCUGAGGGAGUGAAAUAAAGUAGAGAGAUAGCGUU